rnacentral:rRNA from 1 species
UACGGAGGGGGCUAGCGUUGUUCGGAAUUACUGGGCGUAAAGCGCACGUAGGCGGCUUUGUAAGUUAGAGGUGAAAGCCCGGGGCUCAACUCCGGAAUUGCCUUUAAGACUGCAUCGCUCGAACGUCGGAGAGGUGAGUGGAAUUCCGAGUGUAGAGGUGAAAUUCGUAGAUAUUCGGAAGAACACCAGUGGCGAAGGCGACUCACUGGACGACUGUUGACGCUGAGGUGCGAAAGCGUGGGGAGCAAACAGG